AUUCCAGCUGAUCCUGCUGGCGGAUACUGCUAUUGAAGUCCGAUUAAGCCAUGCAAGUCUAAGAGUCCAGCUAUGGGGGCUCUGGCGUACUGCUCAGUAACACGUAGCUAAUCUACCCUCAAGAAGAGCAAAACCCGGGAAACUGGGCAUAAUGCUCUAUAAGCAGAGGAUACUGGAAUGUUCCUUUGCUUAAAUGAAGUGCACCAUGCAAGCACUUUGCUUGAGGAUGAGGCUGCGGCGGAUUAGGCUGUUGGCGGGGUAACUGCCCACCAAACCUUUGAUCCGUACGGGCCUUGAGAGAGGGAGCCCGGAGAAGGGUACUGAGAUAAGGACCCUAGCCCUACGGGGUGCAGCAGGCGCGAAACCUCUGCAAUGCGCGAAAGCGUGACAGGGGGACUUCGAGUGCUAGCUUGCUAGCUUUUGCCAAGCCUAAAAAGCUUGGCGAAUAAGUGCUGGGUAAGAUGCGUGCCAGCCGCCGCGGUAAUACGUACAGCACAAGUGGUAUCCCCUUAUAUUGGGCCUAAAGCGUGUGUAGCCGGUUCUAAUAGUCUUUGGUGAAAUCAAGGGGCUUAACCCAUUGGCUUGCCAAAGAUACUUUAAAACUCGAGGUUGGUAGACGUGAAGGGAAUUUCUGGGGUAGCAGUGAAAUGUUGUGAUCCCAGAAGGA
rnacentral:rRNA from 1 species